UGGCUCAGGACGAACGGCUGGCGGCGUGCCUAAUACAUGCAAGUCGAACGGUCUUUCUAUGGAAGCUUGCUUCCACUGAGAAGAUAGUGGCGAACGGGUGAGUAACACGUGGGUAACCUGCCCAUAAGAGGGGGAUAACAUCCGGAAACGGGUGCUAAUACCGCAUAGUUUUCUUGAUCGCAUGAUUGAGAAAGGAAAGACGGCCUUUGUGCUGUCGCUUAUGGAUGGACCCGCGGCGUAUUAGUUAGUUGGUGAGGUAACGGCUCACCAAGACGAUGAUACGUAGCCGACCUGAGAGGGUGAUCGGCCACAUUGGGACUGAGACACGGCCCAAACUCCUACGGGAGGCAGCAGUAGGGAAUCUUCCGCAAUGGACGAAAGUCUGACGGAGCAACGCCGCGUGAGUGAAGAAAGGUUUUCGGAUCGUAAAACUCUGUUGUCAGAGAAGAACAAGUUGGAGAGUAACUGCUCCAGCCUUGACGGUAUCUGACCAGAAAGCCACGGCUAACUACGUGCCAGCAGCGGC
rnacentral:rRNA from 1 species